rnacentral:rRNA from 1 species
AGAACGAACGCUGGCCGGCGUGCUUAACACAUGCAAGUCGAACGCGAAAGGGACUUCGGUCCUGAGUAAAGUGGCGCACGGGUGAGUAACGCGUAGAUAACCUGUCUUCAUGUCUGGAAUAAUACGCCGAAAGGGGUACUAAUACCGGAUAUUCUUGCCUUUCAUAAGUUAUGCAAGCAAAGGUGGCCUCUGCAUAUGCUACUGCAUGAAGAGGGGUCUGCGUACCAUUAGCUAGUAGGUGGGGUAAUGGCCUACCUAGGCGACGAUGGUUAGCGGGUCUGAGAGGAUGAUCCGCCACACUGGCACUGGAACACGGGCCAGACUCCUACGGGAGGCAGCAGUGAGGAAUAUUGCGCAAUGGGGGAAACCCUGACGCAGCGACGCCGCGUGAGUGAGGAAGGCCUUCGGGUCGUAAAGCUCUGUCAAGAGGAAAGAAGUGUACAAUGGCUAAUACCUGUUGUAUUUGACGGUACCUCUAAAGGAAGCACCGGCUAACUCCGUGCCAGCCGCCGC